AUUGAACGCUGGCGGCAGGCCUAACACAUGCAAGUCGAACGAGUCGCAGGCGUGUGAGUAAUGUCUGGGACACUGCCAUCUGGAGGGGGAUAACUUCUGGAAACUGUCGCUAAUACCGCAUACCAUCAUAUGUUCCCAGAUGGGAUUAGCUAGUUGGUGGGGUAACGGCUCACCAAGGCGACGAUCCCUAGCUGGUCUGAGAGGAUGACCAGCCACACUGGAACGGAGACACGGUCCAGACUCCUACGGGAGGCAGCAGUGGGGAAUAUUGCACAAUGGGCGCAAGCCUGAUGCAGCCAUGCCGCGUGUAUGAAGAAGGCCUUCGGGUUGUAAAGUACUUUCAGCGGGGAGGCGUUACCCGCAGAAGAAGCACCGGCUAACUCCGUGCCAGCAGCCGCGGUAAUUC
rnacentral:rRNA from 1 species